rnacentral:rRNA from 1 species
ACGGGAGGCAGCAGUAGGGAAUCUUCGGCAAUGGGGGGAACCCUGACCGAGCAACGCCGCGUGAGUGAAGAAGGUUUUCGGAUCGUAAAGCUCUGUUAUAAGCGAAGAACGGGAGUAAGAGUGGAAAGUUUACUCUGUGACGGUAGCUUAUCAGAAAGGGACGGCUAACUACGUGCCAGCAGCCGCGGUAAUACGUAGGUCCCGAGCGUUGUCCGGAUUUAUUGGGCGUAAAGCGAGCGCAGGUGGUUUAAUAAGUCUGAAGUUAAAGGCAUUGGCUCAACCAAUGUACGCUUUGGAAACUGUUAAACUUGAGUGCAGAAGGGGAGAGUGGAAUUCCAUGUGUAGCGGUGAAAUGCGUAGAUAUAUGGAGGAACACCGGUGGCGAAAGCGGCUCUCUGGUCUGUAACUGACACUGAGGCUCGAAAGCGUGGGUAGCGAACAGGAUUAGAUACCCUGGUA